GACGAACGCUGGCGGCGUGCUUAACACAUGCAAGUCGACAAGAGUGGCGAAGUGGUUAGUAAUUAGUGGAUAUCCUGUCCUCCUUUUUGGGAUAAGCCUUAGCAACGGGGUCUAAUACAGACGAAAGGGGGAUGGGCCCGCGGCCUUUCAGUUGGUUGGUGGGGAGAUGGCCUACGAAGGCGGCGACGGGUGGCAGGACUGAGAGGGUGACCGGCCACAUGAGGAGGGCGAUACGGCCCAGACUCGUACGAGGGGCAGCAGUGGGGGAUAUUGCAAAAUGGGCGAAGGGCAGAUGCGGCGAAGUGACGUGGGGGAUGAAGGCUUACGGCUUGUGAACCUCUUACGCUAUCGAACGGGUAGGUGGAGAGAAAGCGACGGCUAACUACGUGCCAGCAGCCGCGGUAAUUC
rnacentral:rRNA from 1 species